GUGGGGAAUCUUAGACAAUGGGCGCAAGCCUGAUCUAGCCAUGCCGCGUGAGCGAUGAAGGCCUUAGGGUUGUAAAGCUCUUUCGUGGGGGAAGAUAAUGACGGUACCCACAGAAGAAGCCCCGGCUAACUUCGUGCCAGCAGCCGCGGUAAUACGAAGGGGGCUAGCGUUGUUCGGAUUUACUGGGCGUAAAGCGCACGUAGGCGGAUCGUUAAGUCGGGGGUGAAAUCCUGGAGCUCAACUCCAGAACUGCCUUCGAUACUGGCGAUCUUGAGUCCGGAAGAGGUGAGUGGAACUCCUAGUGUAGAGGUGGAAUUCGUAGAUAUUAGGAAGAACACCAGUGGCGAAGGCGGCUCACUGGUCCGGUACUGACGCUGAGGUGCGAAAGCGUGGGGAGCAAACAGGAUUAGAAACCCCAGUAGUC
rnacentral:rRNA from 1 species